UACGUAGGGUGCGAGCGUUGUCCGGAAUUAUUGGGCGUAAAGAGCUUGUAGGCGGUCUGUCGCGUCUGCUGUGAAAAUCCGGGGCUCAACCCCGGACUUGCAGUGGGUACGGGCAGACUAGAGUGUGGUAGGGGAGACUGGAAUUCCCGGUGUAGUGGUGGAAUGCGUAGAUAUCGGGAGGAACACCAGUGGCGAAGGCGGUUGCCUGGGGCUUUGCUGACGCUGAGGCGCGAAAGCUAGGGGAGCAAACGGG
rnacentral:rRNA from 1 species